ACACUUCAUUUUCCUUGUGCUCGCUUCGGCUGGAAUGGUACAGAGAAGACUAGUGUGGCCCCUGCGCAAGGAUGACAUGAAAAUUCAUGAAGCCGUCAGUAUAAAA